ensembl:ncRNA F52F12.12 ncRNA
CUCAAAGGAUCUCAGACAGAUGUACAGGCACAUGUUCUUCUUCGGAAGCAUAAAAAAGUUGUUAGGUAAUAGUUCGGAACGAUGGAACAGGUGCUCUCUCUAGGCCCUGUCAGCUGUCUUUUG